GUUAAUGUGUGUGUGUGUUUGUGUCUGACUGUGUGUGUUUGUGAGUGUGUGUUUGUGUCUGUGUUUGUGUCUGUGUAUGUGUCUGACUGUAUGUGUGUGUGUUUGUGUCUGUGUAUGUGUCUGACUGUGUGUGUCUGUGUAUGUGUCUGACUGUGUGUGUGUGUGUGUGUGUUUGUGUCUGACUGUGUGUGUGUAUGUGACUGUGUGUGUUUGUGUGUGUGUUUGUGUCUGACUGUGUGUGUCUGACUGUGUGUGUGUUUG